CCUACGGGGGGCAGCAGUGGGGAAUAUUGGACAAUGGGGGGAACCCUGAUCCAGCCAUGCCGCGUGUGUGAAGAAGGCCCUCGGGUUGUAAAGCACUUUCAGUGAGGAAGAACGCCUGGUGGUUAAUACCCAUCAGGAAAGACAUCACUCACAGAAGAAGCACCGGCUAACUCCGUGCUAGCAGCCGCGGUAAUACGGAGGGUGCGAGCGUUAAUCGGAAUUACUGGGCGUAAAGCGCGCGUAGGUGGCUUGAUAAGCCGGUUGUGAAAGCCCCGGGCUCAACCUGGGAACGGCAUCCGGAACUGUCAAGCUAGAGUGCAGGAGAGGAAGGUAGAAUUCCCGGUGUAGCGGUGAAAUGCGUAGAGAUCGGGAGGAAUACCAGUGGCGAAGGCGGCCUUCUGGACUGACACUGACACUGAGGUGCGAAAGCGUGGGUAGCAAACAGGAUUAGAUACCCCAGUAGUC
rnacentral:rRNA from 1 species